UACGGGGGGAGCAAGCGUUGUCCGGAUUUAUUGGGCGUAAAGAGCGUGUAGGCGGCUUUGCAAGUCCGUUGUGAAAACUCGAGGCUCAACCUCGAGACGCCGGUGGAAACUGCAAAGCUAGAGUCCGGAAGAGGAGAGUGGAAUUCCUGGUGUAGCGGUGAAAUGCGCAGAUAUCAGGAAGAACACCCGUGGCGAAGGCGGCUCUCUGGGACGGUACUGACGCUGAGACGCGAAAGCGUGGGGAGCGAACAGG
rnacentral:rRNA from 1 species